AAAGGGAUGCUCUGAGAAGGACGGGCAGCCGGUUGAGGCCGAUCGGAGGCUGGAGUGCAGUGGCACGGUCUCAGCUCCCUGCAACCUCUGCCUCCCAGGUUCAAGUGAUUCUCUUGCCUCAGCCUCAGGAGUAGCUGGGAUUACAGCCUGCCUGAUUGGAGACGCCUGGAAGGAGCUGACCAUAGUGGCAGGUGCUGUUUCCAACCAGCUCUUGGUCUGGUACCCAGCAACUGCCUUAGCAGACAACAAACCUGUAGCACCUGACCGACGAAUCAGUGGGCAUGUGGGCAUCAUCUUCAGCAUGUCAUACCUGGAAAGCAAGGGUUUGCUGGCUACAGCUUCAGAAGACCGAAGCGUUCGUAUCUGGAAGGUGGGCGACCUGCGAGUGCCUGGGGGUCGGGUGCAGAAUAUUGGGCACUGCUUUGGGCAUAGCGCCCGUGUGUGGCAGGUCAAGCUUCUAGAGAAUUACCUUAUCAGUGCAGGAGAGGACUGUGUCUGCUUGGUGUGGAGCCAUGAAGGUGAGAUCCUCCAGGCCUUUCGGGGACACCAGGG
rnacentral:sRNA from 1 species